GAUGAACGCUAGCGGCAGGCUUAAUACAUGCAAGUCGAGGGGUAGCAAGAUUGUAGCAAUACAAUUGUUGACGACCGGCAAACGGGUGCGGAACACGUACACAACCUUCCUACAAGUGGGGAAUAGCCCAGAGAAAUUUGGAUUAAUACCCCGUAACAUAGCGAUGUGGCAUCACAUUGCUAUUAUAGCUUCGGCGCUUGUUGAUGGGUGUGCGGCUGAUUAGAUAGUUGGCGGGGUAACGGCCCACCAAGUCUACGAUCGGUAGCUGAUGUGAGAGCAUGAUCAGCCACACGGGAACUGAGACACGGGCCCGACUCCUACGGGAGGCAGCAGUAAGGAAUAUUGGACAAUGGACGCAAGUCUGAUCCAGCCAUGCCGCGUGAAGGAUUAAGGUCCUCUGGAUUGUAAACUUCUUUUAUAAGGGACGAAAAAAGGUCUUUCUAGAUCGUCUGACGGUACCUUAUGAAUAAGCACCGGCUAACUCCGUGCCAGCCGCCGCGGUAAGAC
rnacentral:rRNA from 1 species